rnacentral:tRNA from 1 species
GCUAAGGUUGCUCAGUGGUAGAGCACUUGCCUUGCAUGCAUGAGGCCCUGGGUUCAAUUCCUCAGCA